UACGUAGGGUGCGAGCGUUAAUCGGAAUUACUGGGCGUAAAGCGUGCGCAGGCGGUUUGGUAAGACAGAUGUGAAAUCCCCGGGCUUAACCUGGGAAUUGCAUUUGUGACUGCCCGGCUAGAGUGUGUCAGAGGGGGGUAGAAUUCCACGUGUAGCAGUGAAAUGCGUAGAUAUGUGGAGGAAUACCGAUGGCGAAGGCAGCCCCCUGGGAUAACACUGACGCUCAUGCACGAAAGCGUGGGGAGCAAACGGG
rnacentral:rRNA from 1 species